rnacentral:rRNA from 1 species
AUGGAGGCCGUCCUGCGACAUCCAUCCCUUUCCCGCCUCAAAGCCCCGAACCCAGCUGCUCACAGAACCCAGCACCUCUCCAUCACCGUCCCUCGCCGUCCUCGCGUCCCCAAGCGCCGCCUCGCCGCCGCCGCCGCGCUGUUCCAGGACCAGACCAACCCAAGAACCGCGGCAGCAAGCAAGGGGGGCGAUGAAGAAGACGAGGAGGGGUACGGAGAGGUGGACCGCAUCGUCUCCAGCCGAACCGUCAAGAACGCGGUGUUCGCGGAGGACGGCUCGGCCACCACCGUCACCGCCACCGAGUACCUCGUCGAGUGGAAGGACGGGCACGAGCCGACCUGGAUCCCGGCGGAGGCGAUAGCCGCGGACGUAGUGGCGGAGUACGAGACGCCGUGGUGGGAUGCCGCCAAGAAGGCCGACGCGGAUGCGCUGGGCGCGCUGCUGGCGGACGAGGCGCUGCGGCGGGACCCGGACGCCGAGGACGCGCAGGGGCGCACCGCGAUGCACUUCGCGGCGGGGCUCGGGUCCGAGGAGUGCCUGCGCUUGCUCGCGGAGGCGGGGGCGGACGUGGGCCACGCGGAGCGCGCGGGCGGCGGGCUGACGCCGCUGCACAUCGCGGCGGGGUACGGCCGGGCGACGGGCGUGCGCGCGCUGCUGGAGCUGGGCGCCGACGCGGAGGGCCCCGACGGGAAGGGCCGGACGCCGCUGGAGCUGGUGCAGGAGGUGCUGGCUGCGACGCCCAAGGGCGUCCCGGCGGCGUUCGAGCGGCGCCAGGCGCUCGAGGCGGCGGCGAAGGAGCUGGAGAAGGCCGUGUACGAGUGGGGCGAGGUGGAGAAGGUGGUGGACGGGCGCGGCGAGGGCAAGUGGCGGGAGUACCUGGUGGAGUGGCGCGACGGCGGCGACCGGGAGUGGGUGAAAGCGCCGUGGGUGGCGGAGGACCUGGUGAAGGACUUCGAGGCCGGGCUGGAGUACGGCGUCGCGGAGGCCGUCGUGGACAGGAGGCAGGCGGCGGACGGCGACGGGGACGGCAGGUGGGAGUACCUCGUCAAGUGGGUGGACACCGAGGAGGCGACGUGGGAGCCCGCGGAGAACGUGGAUGCCGAGCUCGUGCAGGAGUUCGAGCGGCAACAGCCGGGGAACGGUGGCGCUGCACCGCCGGCGGAGACAUUUGCCGGGUGA